rnacentral:misc_RNA from 1 species
UUUCCGUAGGUGAACCUGCGGAAGGAUCAUUAUUAAACGCGAAGCCAUCACUGGCCUAGCUUUAUAAUCCUUAUUACACCUGUGCACCUUAUUGUCUUCGGACAAUCUUUACAAACAACAGUGUAACGAAUGUAAACUAUUAUAAAAUAAUACAACUUUUAACAACGGAUCUCUUGGCUCUCGCAUCGAUGAAGAACGCAGC